rnacentral:lncRNA from 1 species
AAAUUCUUCUAAAACAAUACCAACAUAACGGCAUAAAUUUCUAAAGUUCAAGAUUAUCGAACUACCAAAAUCAGGCGUGCAUGUAGGAACAUCAGGACCUCCAAUAUCAUUAUAAGGCCUAACGUAAAAAAAAAUAAAAAAAAAUAAUAGGAACACAACUUAGUAGCUUUCCAAAGACAAACAGAAAAGAUAGAUGUAAAACAAAAGCAAUUCUCAUAUCAUAUCCAACCGUUUCAUUUCCUAAUCUUUUGCAGCAUAACAAAAAACCAAAGCA